rnacentral:rRNA from 1 species
CCCGCACAAGCGGUGGAGCAUGUGGUUUAAUUCGACGCUACGCGAAGAACCUUACCUGGGCUUGAACUGCUGGUGGUAGAAGCCCGAAAGGGUAACGACCCGGAGCAAUCCGGGAGCCAGUAGAGGUGCUGCAUGGCUGUCGUCAGCUCGUGUCGUGAGAUGUUGGGUUAAGUCCGCUAACGAGCGCAACCCUCGCUGUGUGUUAUAUGUGUCACACGGGACUGCCGGUCUUAAGCCGGAGGAAGGUGGGGAUGAUGUCAAGUCAGCAUGGCCUUUAUAUCCUGGGCUACACACACGCUACAAUGGCCAGCACAGUAGGUUGCUAAGCCGCGAGGUGGAGCCAAUCCAUAAAGCUGGUCUCAGUUCAGAUUGCAGGCUGCAACCCGCCUGCAUGAAGAUGGAGUUGCUAGUAACCGCAGGUCAGCUAUACUGCGGUGAAUACGUUCCCGGGGCUU